rnacentral:rRNA from 1 species
AUUGAACGCUGGCGGCAGGCCUAACACAUGCAAGUCGAACGAGUGGCGGACGGGUGAGUAAUGUCUGGGAAACUGCCCGAUGGAGGGGGCUAACUACUGGAAACGGUAGCUAAUACCGCAUACCAUCGGAUGUGCCCAGAUGGGAUUAGCUAGUAGGUGGGGUAAAGGCUCACCUAGGCGACGCUCCCUAGCUGGUCUGAGAGGAUGACCAGCCACACUGGAACUGAUACACGGUCCAGACUCCGACGGGAGGCAGCAGUGGGGAAUAUUGCACAAUGGGCGCAAGCCUGAUGCAGCCAUGCCGCGUGUAUGAAGAAGGCCUUCGGGUUGUAAAGUAAUUUCAGCGGGGAGGCGUUACCCGCAGAAGAGGCACCGGGUAACUCAGUGACAGCAGCCGCGGUAAUAC